rnacentral:lncRNA from 1 species
AGUUGUCUUUCAUUUCUUAGGACAGAUCAUACUAUGUCCUUCUUCAGGGCCUCUAGAUAGGGUCUUGCUAUGUUGCAUAGGCUGAUCUCUUGAACUCCUCUGCCUCUCAAAGUGCUGAGAUUACAGAUGCUGUUGCUAAACAACACUUCCAUCAGAGGGCAAGCAGAGAGAGAUACACCAUUCCUUUUAAAGGCUCCUAGUUAUGCCAAUGAGGAAGAAAGUAUUCUACUUACUCUGGUCUAACAGUGUUGGAGACAAACCAACAAGUUAUUAACAAAUAAUU